rnacentral:tRNA from 1 species
GAUAAAAUGGCUGAGUUAGGCAUUAGAUUGUAAAUCUAAUUACGGAAUUUUCCUUUUAUCA